rnacentral:rRNA from 1 species
UACGUAGGGUGCGAGCGUUAAUCGGAAUUACUGGGCGUAGAGCGUGCGCAGGCGGUUUUGUAAGCCCGAUGUGAAAUCCCCGGGCUUAACCUGGGAAUGGCAUUUGGGACUGCAAGGCUGGAGUGCGGCAGAGGAGACUGGAAUUCCUGGUGUAGCAGUGAAAUGCGUAGAUAUCAGGAGGAAUACCGAUGGCGAAGGCAGGUCUCUGGGCUGACACUGACGCUCAUGCACGAAAGCGUGGGGAGCAAACAGG